UAGAUGUAUUGGAAUGUGGCCUACCUCGAC
rnacentral:sRNA from 1 species